GGAGCACGUGAGCAACCUGGACCCUGGAGAUGUGGAAAACCUCUGGAAACGGAGGCUAAUACAGAAUGUGGCGCCCCAUGGCAUCAUGGGAGCGCCGAAGGGGCCGCAAGGCUCCCGCUCCGGGAUGGGCUCGCGCACCAUCAGCUAGUUGGCGGGUAACGGCCCACCAAGGCCUACGGUUAGCUGGUCUGAGAGGAUGACCAGCCCCACUGGGACUGAGAUACUGCCCAGACUCCUACGGGAGGCUGCAGUCGAGGAUCAUUCGCAAUGGACGGAAGUCUGACGAUGCGACGCUGCGUGGAGGAUUGAAGGCCUUCGGGUCGUAAACUCCUGUCAUGAGGGAAGAGGCGAGGGAAGCUAAUACCUUCUUUAGUUGACUGUACCUCAAGAGGAAGCGACGGCUAACUCUGUGCCAGCAGCCGC
rnacentral:rRNA from 1 species